UACGAAAGGUGCAAGCGUUAAUCGGAAUUACUGGGCGUAAAGCGCGCGUAGGCGGCUUAGUAAGUUAGAUGUGAAAGCCCCGGGCUCAACCUGGGAACUGCAUCUAAAACUGCUAGGCUAGAGUAUGGUAGAGGAUGGCGGAAGUUCCUGUGUAGCGGUGAAAUGCGUAGAUAUAGGAAGGAACAUCAGUGGCGAAGGCGGCCAUCUGGACCAAUACUGACGCUGAGGUGCGAAAGCGUGGGGAGCAAACAGG
rnacentral:rRNA from 1 species